rnacentral:rRNA from 1 species
CGAGCGAGAAAGGGGCUUCGGCCCUGAGUAAAGCGGCGCACGGGUGAGUAACACGUGGGUAAUCUGCCCUAGAGUGGGGAAUAACACCGGGAAACCGGUGCUAAUACCGCAUACGAUCACGAUGUCUUCGGAUGUUGUGAUGAAAGGAGCAAUUCGCUCUUGGAGGAGCCCGCGGCUGAUUAGCUAGUUGGUGAGGUAAUGGCUCACCAAGGCAACGAUCAGUAGCCGGUCUGAGAGGACGGUCGGCCACACUGGAACUGAGACACGGUCCAGACUCCUACGGGAGGCAGCAGUGGGGAAUUUUUCGCAAUGGGGGCAACCCUGACGAAGCAACGCCGCGUGGAUGAUGAAGUCUCUUGGGACGUAAAAUCCUUUCGACGGGGACGAAACCGCAAGGUUGACGGUACCCGUAGAAGAAGCCCCGGCUAACUCCGUGCCAGCAGCCGCGGUAAUNACGGGGGGGGCAAGCGUUGUUCGGAAUUACUGGGCGUAAAGGGCGCGUAGGCGGUUCGCUAAGUUGAAUGUGAAAACUCUGGGCUUAACCCAGAGCCUGCAUUCAAUACUGGCGGGCUAGAGUUCUGGAGGGGAUAGCGGAAUUCCUGGUGUAGCGGUGAAAUGCGUAGAUAUCAGGAGGAACACCGGUGGCGAAGGCGGCUAUCUGGACAGAGUCUGACGCUGAGGCGCGAAAGCUAGGGGAGCAAACAGGAUUAGAUACCCUGGUAGUCCUAGCCCUAAACGAUGGAUACUUGCUGU